GUACUAGCCUGCCGAUUCCUCCUUCUUGUAGAACCGUAAUGCCAUUAAUUUGGUGUUGCGGGGAAACAGGACUGUUACUUUGAAAAAAUUAGAGUGUUUAAAGCAGGCUAGCGCCUGAAUACAUUAGCAUGGAAUAAUGAAAUAGGACGUUCGAACCUAUUUUGUUGGUUUCUAGGAUUGACGUAAUGAUUAAUAGGGAUAGUUGGGGGCAUUAGUAUUCAAUUGUCAGAGGUGAAAUUCUUGGAUUUAUUGAAGACUGACUACUGCGAAAGCAUUUGCCAAGGAUGUUUUCAUUAAUCAAGAACGAAAGUUAGGGGAUCGAAGACGAUCAGAUACCGUCGUAGUCUUAACCAUAAACUAUGCCGACUAGGGAUCGGAUGAUGUUA
rnacentral:rRNA from 1 species